ACGUCCCAGCACAGAGUGCCAGCCCGAGCCCGACGCCGCCGUCGGCUUACUGCGCAGGCGCUGCAGAACGCGGAGGUGGGGGUGCAUCCGGCGCUUUGUUGCGGAGAAGAGCCCCUAGUACUGGGUACGAGGGAGCAGGCGGGAAUCGCCGCGAGCGCUGUCCUAGCGCCAAAGGAGACCUGCUCCUGAAGCAGAGCGGUGGGGACCUUCUGUGCACAGCCGAAAAUCUUUCGGAUUUACCUGUACAGCCGCCCCUCCCCCACCAAAACAAACCCACAUCUCAGGAAAACAUGUUCACGCCAAAUCCCCAUAAACUGGCCUUUGUAGGGGUUACAGCCAACUCUUAGAGGAGAAAAUGACUUCACAGCAUGCUUUUUAUGUGGCGUCCAAACUGAAAGAAAACGACACCAACGCCCUCUUUGUAGCUUAAUUUUACAUAAAUGAUAAGGUCGAUGGGAGAUACCUCCUCAUGAUGCACUUUUCUCGCCGGUAUUUACACCUUGGACCCAUCUGACUGAUACGCUGUGAUAGAAACUAGUUCUAUUGGACAACACUGAUUCUGAGACUUUGUAUUGGAAAUGGAGAAGGAGAAAACUGAAUUAAUGAAGAGAUAUUGAGGAAGUGGGUUUGGCAGAACUUUCAUAAUCAAUUGGACAACAGGGGUAGAAGAAGAUUCAGUAUGUUUGAGUGAAAAUAUGGAGUCAGAAGAGAGGGAGACAACAAAGAUAUAAAAGAGUGAAGAGUGGUUAAUAAAGAUGAGAUGUUUAAGAAACUGAAAGACUUGAAAUAUUUGGGCUUCCACAGGGACACUAAUUCACCUCAAGAAGAAGGUUGAGGCCUGGGUGGAGUAGGCAGUGAGCCCAAUGCAUAUCUUUAAGAAAUGGAGGGACUUUCCUGGUGGUCCAGCGGCUAAGAUCUGAGUUCUUAAUGCAGGGGGCCCGGGUUUAAUCCCUGUUAGGGAACUAGAUCCCCCAUGCCACAACUAAGAGUUCAAAGGCCACAAUGAAGAUCAAAGAUCCAGUAUGCCACAGUCUGGUCAAAUAAAUAACUAUUAAAUAAAAUAAAUGAACAAGGGGUUGGGGGAUGGGGGUUGGUGAUGGGAAGGAAGUAGAUUUAUAGCAUAGUAGUUAUCCAAUAAAUAUUAGUUUCUUUAAACAGUUCACAUACAAAGUAAUAAUUCUAUUUUGUAAUUUCACAUUAGAAUAUUUCAUGUUUCUUUCCACAAACAUAUGAAAACACAAUAAAUAUCUACCCCUUUUCUCUCUCUCUUUCAACACACACACACACACAAACACACAUACACAUUUACAUAUGCUCCCCACUACAGAUAUACAUUAAUCCAGUUUUUUAGACAAAAAUGUUACAGAAAUUGGGAAUAUCCCCUGAAGGAGGGCAUGGCAACCUACUCUAGCAGUCUUGCUUGGAGAAUCUCCAUGGACAGAGGAG